UCCCCAGUGGUCCAGUGAUUAAGACCCCACACUUCCAAUGCAGGGAGUGCUGGUUCAAUCCCUGGCUGGGGAA
rnacentral:tRNA from 1 species